UCCUCUUUGUAGUGCCCCUGUUUUCUACUAUGUAUGGGGCAUUUAACUCUGGGCCGGAAUCAUUGUUGACUAGUAACAGUAAAACUUUGGAACUGUAAUUCUACUUGUGUGCUAGUUGUCGUAACAAACAAGCACAUUCGUUUAGUUACCGGUACUAUAUUUGGUUGAAUGAGCUCUUCUUUCCCCCUAAAUCUAGUUCUUCAUUUAUAGCCCUCAGCAUCAUGAAUCUGAAUUGUUUAAUUGCAUUGUUUCCAGGUGCAUCAGUUACUUAAGUUCAUUGCAAAAUUUUCAGAACAUCCAAAUGGCAAGGUAUUGCUAUGGAAAAUGGGAAUUGCACGGGUUCUUAAUAAGUUGCUAAAGAACUGCAGCAACGCAUCUUACUUGGAAGAUAAAGCGAUCUCUGAAAGAGGAGCCUACAGAAGUGACCAACUUAUGCUCAAAUGGAGGAUUCCCUUAUUCAGAUGUCUCGCAUCUAUCUUCGGUGCCCAGCCAUCUGGCAAAGAGCAGACUGCUAUUGAAGAGUAAGCUCAACUAUCUACUUCAGAACUACUUCAUCAUUUACAUUUGAAAACUAAUUAUAUUAACUCAAAGUAGGUCCUCAGAGAAUGCUAGCGUUGAGGAGUGCUCUUCUAUCAUGCAUCACCUCUUGGUCUUAUGCCAGGUAAAAUAACUUUCGUGUUAUCUAUGAUAAGAUGGUUGUCGGAUCGGCAGCGUUUACUUCUCUAUUUGAUUCUCAAGCUUAGCUCACUACUUCUGUAGUGAAGCCAGGAUGUGGUCUGUGUUUUGUUGUGGUUUCUUUAGUUUUACUACUCUGAAAGAUUGAUAUCAAGCUUUUGUAAUGAAAUACUAUCAAGUGUUCCCUACUCUAGAAGCCAUUUAUGAGUUGAAACUGCCCUGUGUAGUUAGUUCCUUUUUUUGGUUUCAACAGUAGUCCUAGUUAAAAGGGUCAACAACAUGUUGGUGUCAUGUGUCAAGUGUCUGAGAUCAUACAUUGGAAGUUCAUACUAUCGGAGGUGGAAAACCUAAAGGAGUAGCUGAAGUUUGAAAAUGGUUUAUUAAAUACAUGAGAAGGCUAUGCUGAGAAUGAGGACACGGAAUGAUAAUAAUGUUUCUUCAGCUGUUACUUUCUUUUUCUUCUUCCUUUGACAGGGUUGUGUUGCUAAUUAGAUUUAAGAAACUGAAUUCCAAAAUUUUGUGUGCAACCAUUUUAAAAUACCCCAGAUCCCCAAGUACACAUGAAUUAUGUCAUAGUUAAA